UACAGAGGGUGCGAGCGUUAAUCGGAAUUACUGGGCGUAAAGCGCGCGUAGGCGGUUUUGUAAGUCGGGUGUGAAAUCCCCCAAGCUUAACUUGGGAACUGCAUUCGAGACUGCAUAGCUAGAGUAUGGGAGAGGGAAGUGGAAUUUCAGGUGUAGCGGUGAAAUGCGUAGAUAUCUGAAGGAACAUCAGUGGCGAAAGCGACUUCCUGGACCAAUACUGACGCUCAUGUGCGAAAGCGUGGGGAGCAAACAGG
rnacentral:rRNA from 1 species